AAAAAGGGAUAGGGAGUGGACUGGAAGAUGAUACAUUCAUGACAUUAUGGGACUUUCUAGAGUCCUGGAUUAUUCAAAAUGAUUGGGUGGCGAUUUUCUUUAUAAUUUUACUAGGAAUUAUUUUUGAGAUAAUACUCAUGAAAGCUUGUGCAUCCUUUCGGAAGAAGCCCACACUUCCUGAAAAGGGUAGUUCAGAUGUCCAGGAGACGGAAGACAGUUGCCCCAAAAGCAGGAAACUUGCUCCAGAGAAUUGGUCAGUUAUUAAUUCAUCUUCAGGAGAAAGAGUUGGCACCUUUUUAGAAAAAAGAAUUACUUCAUCACUUACAUCUGAAGAAAAGGAAUGUAACUUUGAAGAUAGAACUUUAUUCUCACGUGAAAUACUAUGGUCAGGUACUAGUGAAAGUGAAGAUCAAGUAAGUCCCUCUAGUGAAAGUCGUGUGCCAUCUUCAAAUGGAAUCAGCUCAUCUUUGCCAUUGUUUUAUUCAGAAGUAGAGGAAAUGUGUCUAAGCCAUACAGAGCAUCCAGACAGAGAAUAUGAAACCAUACAAUUUUCCUCCAAGAAAUUAUUUUCAAUGAUGAAAACCAACAAAAACAAAAAUUCAGGAUUUUCUUCUGAUCUUAGCUUUUCAGCAUCUAGAUUCACUGUAGAAAAUGAAGAUCUAGAUGUGGCACCUUGC
rnacentral:lncRNA from 1 species